rnacentral:rRNA from 1 species
UAGGGAAUCUUCCGCAAUGGGCGAAAGCCUGACGCAGCAACGCCGCGUGAGUGAUGAAGGUCUUCGGAUCGUAAAACUCUGUCAUUAGGGAAGAACAUAAGUGUAAGUAACUAUGCACGUCUUGACGGUACCUAAUCAGAAAGCCACGGCUAACUACGUGCCAGCAGCCGCGGUAAUACGUAGGUGGCAAGCGUUAUCCGGAAUUACUGGGCGUAAAGCGCGCGUAGGCGGUUUUUUAAGUCUGAUGUGAAAGCCCACGGCUCAACCGUGGAGGGUCAUUGGAAACUGGAAAACUUGAGUGCAGAAGAGGAAAGUGGAAUUCCAUGUGUAGCGGUGAAAUGCGCAGAGAUAUGGAGGAACACCAGUGGCGAAGGCGACUUUCUGGUCUGUAACUGACGCUGAUGUGCGAAAGCGUGGGGAUCAAACAGG